rnacentral:tRNA from 1 species
GGUUGUGGCUUAGAGGUAGAGCGCUUACCUAGCAUGCAUGAGGCACUGGGUUCAAUCCUUAGCACCA